CGCUAGCUCUUUUUCUCUCCCUUUCUGUCCCUCCCUCCCUCUUUCUGCCUCUGUUCUGCCACCUUCUCUACUCUGCGAUCAGCAUUUGGCUUUUUCCAUUUGUGGCAGAUUACUGUAACGCUAUUGUACAACAACUUCCUGCCUCUUUUGGCUCUGGUUCUAAAAACUGUAAAGGCAGAGCUGGUGGCUUCAACUUUUUCCCCUCGGCCUUGAACUACAGGAGCUCUAUAAGGAAAGAAAAGAAGGAAGGAGAUAUGUGUGUGUCUGUUACUGAGGAACUAUUUUCAUUGCAUUUCUACUUUAUAAACUGCUGAGAAUUAAAGAGGGCAAGAGGGGACUACAUGCCUUGCAGAGACAAUGAAAAAGGCUUCUGAAAGAAGAAGAGGAGGAAAAGAGCAAAGAAGAGUUUCUCCUGGGAACAAGCUGGAAAUUACGGACCUAUUCGAUAUCAGACCUCAGAGUGGACAACCUAUCCAAAGAGGGACGCGCCCUAACUGUAACUAACAACUACUUCUGGCAGCCCUUCAACAGCCAAACAUAUUGUCCUGGAUCAGGGCAGCUUUCGUAUGGCAGCAUCAAACUAGGGCAGCUUAGAAAAGAAAUCCACAUCAAACUACAGAAUCAAUAAUGGUAUUUAAAUGUUGAUAACAAUGCAUUAAAGCUAAAUGAAUGGGCUUUUUAAUGAGAUAUAGAUUGGGCUGUAAACUAGAACCACUUCUCAUCAUUUGUUCAACUUUAAAUAUGUUAAGGUGAUAGAGACUAGCGAGAAGGCAGAUUAAACUAAGAUUUUUCUAUUAAAUAUUAUCAUAUAUAACCCACCUGUACACAUACGUUUUUUAUUCCUGUCAUAUUACAAGACCAAAAUCGAAGCCUGAUACAAUAUGGUAUACUGAUUCAACCAUACUGUCCGAAGAGCCACGUUUCCAGUUGAGACUAUACAAAACAAAACUACAAUAUUGCGGAAGUUAGUACAAAAUGUUGUACUUUGUUGUAAUUGUAAUGUAAUCAUUUGAUAUAAAAAAAAAAACAUCAUAUUAAUUCAAGGAUUCCUUUAAAUAGAGUUGGAAUUUAUUAAUUGUAAUACCUUUACCUUUACAUUAUGACAGAUAUUUCAAAGUACACUUGUAUAAUUUCAGCAGCAUAAAUAAUGGUUAUUAUUAUUAUAGUGUUAGUUAAACUGCACUGUAAAAAUACUGAGCUAAGGCACAGGGACAAAUUCUCAAAAGUCAAUGAUGGGUUAUAAUUAAAAAGAAAAUGAUCCUUUUUUGUCCACUUUACUUGCCUGCACCUACAUGACAGAACUCUCCCUUUGCAGUUUUCCCCUGAGGGUAGUUAAUACCUACUUUAAACAGUCUUGGCCAUUUUGUUUUAUUCUCCUUCAACACUAAGCCAGGAGUGCACAGGCCUGGCAUUUUUGGGGCCACGUCACAACGCCUGUGUCUGCGCCGCAGGGCUGCAAGGAGUCCAACAGCCGAGCCAUACACACUCAGCGGGUCAUUGCCUCAACAAACACUUUAUGUGUGCUGUUUUGUUGUCUUACAUGCUCUCUCUAACAUCCUUGCUCUACUGAGAACAGCAUAACAGGCACCUAAUACACUUUAUCCAUUUCAUAAACUCCUCUUUCCAUCUCCAACACUGACCCACUGAGCCUUCCCUUCCUGAGUCACUUCACAGCACUUUCUCUCCUCUGAUUACCACCGUAAAGUUAGCUCAGUCACAAAAUAGAUAAAUAAAUGCUCAUCCAUUUCCCAAUUCGGCAAUGCCAUUUAAUGAGCUUUAUAACCGUUUCUAACUUUCUGCACAUUAAAACAAAAUCUGUGUUGUCCUUUAAAAGGGGACAUGGUACUGAUACUGAUUUAGAAGUGGCAAGGAUAAAAACACUGAUUAGGUAAAUUCCACUUGGGCUGAGGGGCUGUAAAUGAUGGGUGUAAUGUUAUUAGCAGAGGGAUAUUUAUCUAUGUGGGAGAAAAGCAGCACUUCAUAGGACAGCUGCGAAAACAGAGGUUUUAUUACUCUGUGGGCUAUUUCUGCAAAUUUAGUGGCUAUUUCAAUUUAAGUUAAAUAUUAUCUUUAAGAUGACCAAAAGACAUGGUUCAAAUUUCAAAGAAAACUAAUUUGGGGCAGAAACUGUACAUGUCUAAAACUGUACAUUGCACAUAUUUUUAAAAUUAUAUUUAUUACUUCUACUCUGUCUUUUGCUUCGUGUGGUUGUUCACAUUUUACAGUACGCAGACGUUGAAAGUAAUGAUCCUCUGAGGACAUAAUGUUAAGAGACAUUAUUGUAAAUAUUACCCUUUAUGGUACAGUACUUUGUUUCCUGCCAGAUAAUAAUUGGCCAGUGUCCUGUAAGUGGACACAUUCGUCCGCACAGAUACUGUGACUUUUUCUAUUACUCUGUAUUAUGGUAUUAGAGGAGCAAGUACAGGCACUAAAGAUGACAUGCACAUUCUGCAAAGGUGCUGUUUCUGGGUACACAGGGGUCGACAACUGGUUGAUCUGUGUGCUUCAUGCAGAGUUUUUUUUUGCUCUUACACGGUAUACUGGAUAUACUGGGCUACUGGGUACAGAAAAUGAAUAUGCAGUUGAAAUUGAAGUUGUCUGUUGUCUUUCUUAUUUAAAUGUGCAAUGACUUUUGUCUGUUUUUCAUAUAAAACCAUUUGAGUUGCAUCUCA